rnacentral:lncRNA from 1 species
GAGAUGCGGCAGAGGCAGACAGCUAGGCACAGAGGAGCCGAGUUGUAAACUUUGCUUUUCCUGAUGCUGCCUACUGUCGCGCAUACGAAGAACAUUACCUCUGUGUAGCCAGGAGCUGAGAUGCAGUCUGAAUGUGCACGGUGGCUUCUGACGUGGCAGCGUGAAUUCUCAGCUGGGCAGUUCAAAAGACACGUACAGAAGCUCUCAUCUAUACUGUCAUCCAUCUGGUUCCUACAAACACUGUCCUGCACCAUGACUGGAAGAAGAAGCAUUUGGAGGUUUCCCCAAGAAACUAGUUGGUGCUAGGAACAUUAAAUCUUCAUGUCCCCAGGACAAGAAAGUUAAAAGUACUCAUCGUUAGCUACCGAGGUUGACGGGAGGCAAGGCUGUGGAUUCACGUGACCAAAGAUGGCUGGUCUGGCUGGCUGUACUGCUUUCUCCUUUUAUCAAGUACAGAUGUAGCGCCUGCCUGGAAUGGUAGGACCAGUGCCUAAACUCAAGGAAACAACCAGAGACUGGCUCCCAGGGGCACCUGUUCCCACUUAUUGUUGCUGUUGUUGCACACAUAUGUGAUGUUUGUACAUGUAUGUUCUUGUGUUUGUAGGUACACAUUGUAUGCUGGUGUAUGUGGUCACUGAAGAAAUUAAAACAGAAAGACUCAGU